rnacentral:misc_RNA from 1 species
CUGUGCUCAGCAGCGCUUGCUGGUGUUGGAGGCUGGCGCGUGCCGGCCUCUGAAAAUCAAUGGCUAGCGGCACUCCAGCCCUGUUGCGCACUGGAAUGUUUUGCCGACACGCGGAGCGCGGCUAUGGCCUACCCACGAUUUUUCA